rnacentral:rRNA from 1 species
UAGGGAAUAUUGGACAAUGGGCGAAAGCCUGGUCCAGCAAUGCCGCGUGAGCGAUGAAGGCCUUAGGGUUGUAAAGCUCUUUUACCCGGGAUGAUAAUGACAGUACCGGGAGAAUAAGCCCCGGCUAACUCCGUGCCAGCAGCCGCGGUAAUACGGAGGGGGCUAGCGUUGUUCGGAAUUACUGGGCGUAAAGCGCACGUAGGCGGCUAUUUAAGUCAGAGGUGAAAGCCCGGGGCUCAACCCCGGAAUUGCCUUUGAGACUGGAUAGCUAGAAUCUUGGAGAGGCGGGUGGAAUUCCGAGUGUAGAGGUGAAAUUCGUAGAUAUUCGGAAGAACACCAGUGGCGAAGGCGGCCCGCUGGACAAGUAUUGACGCUGAGGUGCGAAAGCGUGGGGAGCAAACA